rnacentral:rRNA from 1 species
UACGAAGGGGGCUAGCGUUGCUCGGAAUCACUGGGCGUAAAGCGCACGUAGGCGGAUUGCUAAGUCAGGGGUGAAAUCCUGGAGCUCAACUCCAGAACUGCCUUUGAUACUGGCGAUCUCGAGUUCGGGAGAGGUGAGUGGAACUGCGAGUGUAGAGGUGAAAUUCGUAGAUAUUCGCAAGAACACCAGUGGCGAAGGCGGCUCACUGGCCCAAUACUGACGCUGAGGCACGAAAGCGUGGGGAGCAAACAGG